CGCAAGCCUGACGGAGCAAUACCGCGUGAGGGAGGAAGGCUCUUGGGUCGUAAACCUCAAAACUUAGGGAAGAAGCAAGUGACGGUACCUAAUAUAAGCAUCGGCUAACUCCGUGCCAGCAGCCGCGGUAAUACGGAGGAUGCGAGAGUUAUCCGGAAUCAUUGGGCGUAAAGAGUCUGUAGGUGGCACUUCAAGUCUGCUGUCAAAGACCGAAGCUUAACUUCGGAAAGGCGGUGGAAACUGAAGAGCUAGAGUAAAGCAGGGGUAGAGGGAAUUCCCAGUGUAGCGGUGAAAUGCGUAGAGAUUGGGAAGAACACCAGUGGCGAAGGCGCUCUGCUGGGCCAUAACUGACGCUCAUGGACGAAAGCCAGGGGAGCG
rnacentral:rRNA from 1 species